AGAUGCCUUCAAGACCAGGCAGGCAUAGUGUCCAGUAGCCAGCAAGAGCACCCAGGCCCCAUCUAAAGGAAGCUAGGCUGCGCAGCCUCAGGCAAGUGUUGGCAUGCAGGAACAUAGGUCAUUGUGGCCAGAUUGCUCAUUCUUCAAGAAAAGCCAGAAAUCUAGAUUGUAUGGGAAAGCUCCUAAUUUUUAAGACAACUUAUUUUAAAAAAUUAAACAUCUGUCUGCAGUCCAGAUGGAUAAAGACACAUCCCUGUGGUUGGAGGACUACACCAAGGAGGUGGGGCUCAUGCCAGGCCUUGAAUGAUGAGGAAACUGAGCCAGCAGAGAGACAGGAAGGAGCCCACGCAGGGUUACACAAGCAGUUAGCAGAAACAAUAUGGGAACCCAGGUCUGCUCGGCUGCACAGCUCACCGUCCGACCUCUCCCCCAAUCCCCAUGGGCCUUGCACCUCGGAUGGCCGAGGGGAUCCUGGAUUUCAGCAGUCCCACGCCCCUUGUGGGUUUGAAGUUCCUUGCGGGUUUAUCUCGCGUAGGCCCAUGGCACACUGUCCCUACCCUGCCCUGCCCCACCCCACCCCACCCUCCAAUUCCUUCACAGCCUCCUUUGAACUUGGUCUCAAGGCUCGCCCACAAAUCCCAGGAAGUGUCUUGGAUGCAGAAGAGUUUCAUGGUGUUCCUUAUAAAAGCACAACCUGACAUGCA
rnacentral:lncRNA from 1 species